AAAAAUAAAGCUCAGGCUGGAGUAUGGUCUUUUAUUUAAAAAAUAUCCCAACAAAAACAAACAACCAACUUCGUUCCCCAACUCUUCCCACCCCCUCCCUUGCAGAGUGAGAUUGUUUUGUCUGGAAAAAAAUCCAAAGUAUAACAAGGGGAGAACAGUUAGUGCUGAUUUUCAUUUGCAUAAAUUUUCAUAUAUUUUGGUGAAAAUAAUAGACUAGUGGAGAGCGGGGCUUAGUGGAGUCAGUGCAAAGGAAAAUCUUAACAUGGAUCGUUUCGCUGGAGUUGAGAACAUGCUUUUUUCCCCCUGUCACCUUAUUAAAAUCAAAAAUUAAAAAAAAAAUCUCUAAAUCCUGGGAGUUUGAUCGGCAUCUGCCCCUGAUUUUAAUCCAAAGGAGCUGCUUUUGGAACUGGCGUGUCCGGCUUUGGUGUUUGCCUGCUGAGGAAGAGGCCUAUUCUUUUCUCCUGUCUUGGUAUGUGGAUUUCUUUCUCUCGAAGUAAUUCCUUAGCAUACCCUUGAAUGGCAUCUACCACACAUAACUUUUUCAACCCACAAGGCUGAAAGAACUUCCCUUAACUGUAAUGACCCCAGCACAGCUAUUCACUAGAAGACAUCCUCCAUGAUUUCUUAGGGGCCCAUAAGAUGACUGAAGUUGUAGAACAGCAAAGACUUGGAACAGACACUGAGGUCCUAUUGCUCCUGUCGGAAACUUCUGUUGACUGCAGCAUGAGUUGGAUGGGACCCAGAGAAACCAAAUACAGACAAGUAAUGAUGAGUUGGCCAUACAAGCAAGGAAAAUCACAGAUAACAGGAAUAUUUCGGCUACCUGCAGCCUCAUCUGAUGAUGUUAAUGAACUCAGCUAGCUCGAUCUUCUGUGCACCAGCAGGGACUUCUUUACAUGGGUAAACUGUAUAGAACAUUGUUUUCAACUUUAAUGUACUUGGAUUUAACCUUAUAAAAUAAUGGCAUAUCUAAAGAUAGGUUAUAUACAUAGCACAGACAUGUAUGUAUGCAUUUAUAUGUACAUGUGUAUGUAUACAUACAUAAAUGCACACAUAUGUAUAGAAAUGCUGAUGUUAUUCACCCUUUUGAAAUCUUUACAGCUAGUCUUAACAUGAAUGUGCUGUUAAAUUUGGCAGUGUUAUACAUUUUUUGGAGUUUACUUCUGUAAGAUAAAAUCAUAAAGAUAAGCUGUGAAACUUGUGCAGCUGAUGACAUAAUUCUAGAAUCUUGUGAUGCUGAAUCUCAUAUUUCUAUGAAUGUGGGAUGGAUAUUCCUUGUUGAAAUAAUUAUACUGCCUAUUGCAAUAUAUGUUCCCUUGGUUUUAUGUGGGUACUGAGAUGUCCAAACUAUUAAACAUAUGUGUACAAUGA